GAAACGAAAGAAAACAAAUUGGAGAGUUGUUUUUAGUAGUUAAAAUAAUAUCUAAUCAAAUAACAACAAUAAUGAAAGGUCUUAUUAGCUGCCUCUUCAAAUAAAAUGCACAAUGUGCUCCUUUCAAUUUUGUUUUAUUUUAAAAAGGAGUGGCAUUAUUAUCAUUCCACGCAGAUAUCUACUCCGCUUUUUCUUUUCUUUUGUAAAUAAUAAAAAAUAAAUAGUAUUUUAUUCAACUCAUCUGAAAAAUAUUCUUAAAAUACUUCUAACAACUUUUUUUUUUUUUACUUUUCUUAUUAUUUCAAUUUUUUAUUUUUUUUAUGAAGGAACAUGCCACUUGCUUGUUACUCCUUUUGUUACUUGUUGGUUUUGUAGUACAAUUAAAAGUUACACAUUUCCACGUUUGGAAUUCGACCGGGAUCGAAUCAUCGUACAAUUACUUAAAAAGUAACAAUCACUCAAUCCAAUUUCAAUGAAUUGGUAUUGAAAUUCAAAUAUAAAGUCAAGUGGGAUUAGUUUUAAAAAAAAAAAAAUUUUAAAAGCCCCAACUCCCCGGUAUUUUGGAGCCCUUGUAAUUGGGCAAGAAUAGUGUUGUUGGAAAUGGACAUAUGCAAUUAUGCAUGAAGAAAAAAAAAAUUGCAGGCUUCAAUAAUGGAAUAGAGGUUGGGGGGUGCUUGGGCACCACCACCAAUUUGUUGCCAUUAAGGGAAAGAUU
rnacentral:lncRNA from 1 species